rnacentral:rRNA from 1 species
CCUACGGGAGGCAUCAGUGGUUUAUAUUUCACAAUUUUUUUCCCCCUGAUGCAGCGACGCCGCGUGGGUGAAGAAGCGCCUCGGCGCGUAAAGCCCUGUCAGCAGGGAAGAAAAUGACGGUACCUGAAGAAGAAGCCCCGGCUAACUACGUGCCAGCAGCCGCGGUAAUACGUAGGGGGCAAGCGUUAUCCGGAUUUACUGGGUGUAAAGGGGGCGCAGACGGCGAUGCAAGCCAGGAGUGAAAGCCCGGGGCCCAACCCCGGGACUGCUCUUGGAACUACGUGGCUGGAGUGCAGGAGGGGCAG